rnacentral:rRNA from 1 species
AAUGUCGGAAUUAUAGUAAUCGUUAAAACUUUCAACAACGGAUCUCUUGGUUCUCGCAUCGAUGAAGAGCGCAGCGAAAUGCGAUAAGUAGUGUGAAUUGCAGAAUUCCGUGAAUCAUCGAGUUCUUGAACGCAUAUUGCGCCUUCAGGCAUUCCUGAAGGCAUGCCUGUUCGAGCGUCAUCAAACAUCCUGUCAAGGAUCGGUUUGGACAUUGCCACCGGUUCUUGGUUUUGAUUAAAGAGCGGAUGUGAAGCCGUUCUUGAUUGAAUUAUAUUUGCAAAGAUUGGAAUGCACGAUUCGACGUGAUAAAACUUCAUUUCGUCCGAGUUUGUUCUCGCUUUGCUCCAUUCCGGUUCCG